UACGGAGGGAGCUAGCGUUGUUCGGAAUUACUGGGCGUAAAGCGCGCGUAGGCGGCUUUGUAAGUUAGAGGUGAAAGCCCGGGGCUCAACCCCGGAAUUGCCUUUAAGACUGCAUCGCUUGAAUCCGGGAGAGGUGAGUGGAAUUCCGAGUGUAGAGGUGAAAUUCGUAGAUAUUCGGAAGAACACCAGUGGCGAAGGCGGCUCACUGGACCGGUAUUGACGCUGAGGUGCGAAAGCGUGGGGAGCAAACAGG
rnacentral:rRNA from 1 species